rnacentral:rRNA from 1 species
AAUAUUGGACAAUGGGCGCAAGCCUGAUCCAGCCACGCCGCGUGAGUGAUGAAGGCCUUCGGGUCGUAAAGCUCUGUGGGGAGGGACGAACCGCCGGUAGUUAAUACCUGCCGGCAUGACGGUACCUCCUUCGCAAGCACCGGCUAACUUCGUGCCAGCAGCCGCGGUAAUACGAAGGGUGCAAACGUUGCUCGGAAUUAUUGGGCGUAAAGCGCACGUAGGCGGCUUUGUAAGUCGGAUGUGAAAUCCCUCGGCUUAACCAAGGAAGUGCAUCCGAAACUACAGAGCUUGAGUACUUAAGAGGAUCGCGGAAUUCCCGGUGUAGAGGUGAAAUUCGUAGAUAUCGGGAGGAACACCAGUGGCGAAGGCGGCGAUCUGGGAAGAUACUGACGCUGAGGUGCGAAAGCGUGGGGAGCAAAC